UAUUAUUAUACACACCAGAUUAGACUGUUGGAAAAGAAAAAAAAAAUUCCGAACAUUAGGCUACAACAAGUAACCUUAGAUGCCAAGAACACUCCUAAGUACCCUAGCCUGUCCCCUAAUAACCCUGUUUUCUGGAGCUGUAUGAAACUGGGUUUCAUGCCCCUUUCCUCUAUCCAUCUGUUCAGAUCUUUAGGGAUCGUUCCCAGUUCACCUAUAACUACUGGGGUACAUUUUACCCGCACUUUCCAUAGACUCUGUAAUUCAAGGGCUAGGUCCUGGUACCUAGAUAUUUUUUAUAUACUUUUCAUAUUAGUUUUUUUUUUCAUCAUUUGGUACUGUAAAGUCAAUUAUAAUAAUUAUUAUUAUUAUUAUUAUUAUUAUUAUUAUUAUUAUUAUUAUUAUUGCUGUUACUAUUAUUAUAAUUGUUGUUGUUGUUGUUGUGGUACCAUAACCAGUGAGGUAAUGACCGCCCCCUGCCAUCACCCCACUCCUUACUUCCCAGGCAUCAUGAUUGCUCGUUGGAAAUUAUAGCAAUUUUCUUAAAUACCAGCUCACUCCUCUCCUCUCUUUAGUGGUGGCCUUCAUGUAACAAGUGCUGUGGUUUUGGUUGGAAAUAUCUUGGGGGAAUCAAGUUCUGAUGUCUUUUUUCUUUUUUCUCUGUUUUAAUUCCUGUUAUUAUAUACUUCGUUACAUGCAAUGUGGUAAAAUGUUUAAGAAGUUCACGUUGCAACUGUGGGGUUCCAGGUUCAAUUUUAAAACAAUCCUGAACAAAAAGUCAUUUCUAUAGCCUCGUGACAAGCCCAUAUCUUUUGAGCGAAAUUAGGUGGAAGGAAACUGUGUAUAAAAGCCUGUCAGGUGGAUUGCACCUGCACCUGUAAUUCCAAAAGGUGCAAACAAUUACUUUUAAGGGUAGACAUCAUCAUCAUCAUCAUCAUCAUCAUCAUCAUCAUCGUUUAACGUCCGCUUUCCAUGCUAGCAUGGGUUGGACGAUUUUGACUGAGGACUGGCGAACCAGAUGGCUGCACCAGGCUCCCAAUCUUGAUCUGGCAGAGUUUCUACAGCUGGAUGCCCUUCCUAAAGCCAACCACUCCGAGAGUGUAGUGGGUGCUUUUACGUGCCACCGGCACGAGGGCCGGCCAGGCGGUACUGGCAACGGCCACACUCAAAUGGUGCUUUUUAUGUGCCACCUGCACAGGAGUCAGUCCAGCGGCACUGGCAACGACCUCCCUCGAAUGUUUUUUUUUCCGUUAAAUUAAUUGUCUUACUCAGAGUUUCUACAGCUGGAUGCCCUUCCUAACGCCAACCACUCCGAGAGUGUAGUGGGUACUUUGUCUGUGGAAUAUUCAUCCACAUCUAUAUUGUUCAGUCAAGAGCAGAUAAUUCAGUGGAUCAAACAACUGAAUCUUUAUCAUUGAAUGGCAGCGAUCCUCUACCAUCACCACAACCUACUUCACUGCACCACAGUACACUAUGUACUGGACUACAUUACAUUAUCCCACACUAUAUUAUACUCCACUAUAAAAACAAUACACUGUACUGCAUUUUACUGCAGCUGCACCACACAUACUGCAUCAUCAUUCACUAUACUAUACAACAGUAUACUAUUCUGUGAAAGCAUAUGGCCUAGCGGUUAGGAUAUUCAGCCCACGAUUGUAAGGUCAUUGGUUCGAUCCCCAGCAGCAUGUUGGGCCCUUGAGCAAGACUUUGCCUUUCAUCCUUUCAGGGUCGAUAAAUUAAGUACCAGUUAUGCACUGGGGUCGAUAUAAUUGACUUAAUCCAUUUGUCUGUCCUUCUUUGUCCUCUCUGUGAAAUAGGUGUUAUUGGGUCAGCCCUCUAAAGAAAUAGGUGUUAUUGGGUCAGCCCUCUAACCUUUUUAUCUGUUUUAUUUUUUCCACUGUCCAUGUUGUUGCUGUACAAAUGCCAAAAUAUGAGUUACCAGGUGGAACUGAUCCAACUGUAAGUGGUUAUAAUGCCGCAGUUGGAUUUUGCUUCUCUGAAGAUUUCUUCAUUUGCAAUUCUGUCAAUGUCAGGUGACUUUAAGGAUCUUCCACGGGCUCUGUCAGUGCAAUGUGCCCUGUUUUUCUGUCCACCUUUUCUUAUCAUUUUUCAUGUUUCACUGCCAUACAGAACUGUUGACAGAUCAACCGUACUACAAUAGCUGACCCCUUAUUUCAGAGAAAGUGCUACUGUUGUCCAGAUCAGGCACAGAAGCUAGAAUAUUGCUACAGCAUGGCCAAUUCUGCUUUGCACAUCACUACUUGAUGGCUACAGCAUGGCCAAUUCUGCUUUGCACAUCACUACUUGAUGGCUACAGCAUGGCCAAUUCUGCUUUGCACAUCACUACUUGAUGGCUACAGCAUGGCCAAUUCUGCUUUGCACAUCACUACUUGAUCAUGCUGCCCAGGUAGGGGGACACUUCACAGCAGUAUACACCUAUACUCGUUUAUCACAGGUGUUCAGUUAAAAAAGAAAAAAAAAACACCAUGUUAAACGAAUCAGUAAUAAACGAAUUAUAAUUUUCAUUGUAAGACUCCCAUGUUGUUCCCCUAAUUUACUCCCGAAACAUUUCAAAACCGUUUUUAACCCUUUAGCAUUCAGAUUACUCCAUCAAAUGUAAAGCCUGUUUAAUUACAUUAUUUUAAAUUAAUUGCACAGCAUCUUGUAACUCUGAGAUUUUGAUGAUGUCCCUGUUUAUUUUUAGAUUGAUUUUGUAGGGUAGGUGUGAGAGGUCAGAGCUGGCUGGUUUGAGCAUAUAACAGGAAGACAAUUUUGGCCUGAUAUGGCCGGGUUUAAACACUAAAGGGUUAAACACAAACAAUGAUAUUGUUUCAUGGUUGGAAAAUUAUUUAGAGUGAAAUUCAAUAGCAUCUAACAGUAAAAAAUAUUUUUCCCCCGUUCACUGGUUGCAUGUUGAUGGGUAUAUGUAUAUAAAUUUAUAUACUUUAUUUAAAGCAACAGAAAAUGAUGGUAGGUUGAAUUUUCUGCUGCUUUAAAUAAAGCAUAUUACUCUACCACUGAUAUUUGAGUACUCUUUUUUCCACCUUGUUUCACAUUUAUGUGUUUACUCCGGUAUAAAUUUAUAUAUAUAAAAAAAAAUGCUGACUUGCAGCUUGGUGCAUUCUGGGUAGCUGGGCAUUGUGGGUGGUUCCUGGAGCUUGUCUUUGGAGUCCAAGAAGAACUUUUGACUGAUUGCUGACCUGUGUUAUCAAAGGUCAAUUUGUGAUGAGCAUAACACAAAUCACAAUUGAGUGUACUGUGUUACCCCAGAUCAGGGAUAAAUGAUGAUAGAUGUACCACGAAUGUUCUGUGUUAUCCCAGCUCAGGGAUAAAUGAUGAUAGAUGUACCAUGAGUGUACUGUGUUAUCCCAGAUCAGAGAUAAAUGAUGAUAGAUGUACCACAAGUGUUCUGUGUUAUCCCAGAUCAGGGAUAAAUGAUGAUAGAUGUACCACGAGUGUUCUGUGUUAUCCCAGAUGAGGGAUAAAUGAUGAUAGAUGUACCACGAGUGUUCUGUGUUAUCCCAGCUCAGGGAUAAAUGAUGAUAUGUACCACGAGUGUUCUGUGUUAUCCCAGAUCAGGGAUAAAUGAUGAUAGAUGUACCACGAGUGUUCUGUGUUAUCCCAGAUCAGGGAUAAAUGAUGAUAGGUGUACCACAAGUGUUCUGUGUUAUCCCAGAUUUGGGAUAAAUGAUGAUAGAUGUACCACAAGUGUUCUGUGUUAUCCCAGAUUUGGGAUAAAUGAUGAUAGAUGUACCACCCCUGUAUACUAUUACACUGUAUUGCACACUAUACAUUAUACAUAUCACAACCUUACACUGUACUAUUAAUAUUCAAGGGAACAAGGGGGACAUCUGUGUGGUCACAUGACCUACUAGAAAUAGCAGCUAAAUGUCCCAGUAAUUAUAUUUACAGUCUUUCAAAAAAUGUAGGAUAUUAUUAAAUUAUGUUGCCCUUGACAGAUUUCAAAUAAAAUCCAGGAUGGUCAUGGCGAAAUAUACGUCUACUGGUUCAUUGCCAAUCUACAACGCAACUCCCAACACUAUCACCUUCCUAUAACAACCAUACUAUAUACAACACUAUUUUAUCACUAUACAGCACAACUAUACUAUAUACCCAACACCACUAUUGCCAUCCAAUGAAUGACAUCAUCAACUUUGUUAUAUACAUCACAUUAUCACUAUCCAGUUGGUUUAGUAAAUGCAUGAAUAUCACAACUUCUGUUACCUGUCUUUUAUAUGGGAGUAAAAUUUAGGGAUUUGUCCCCCAUUUUUUGAUAUUGAUUUAGUGAGAUGGCUGACUCCAGAAAACACUAACAUUUUUGAUUUUCUGAUUAAAAUAUACACAUGUGUGUAUGUGUGUGUGUGUAUUUAUAUAUAUAUGUAUGUAUAAGCAUAGACUUGUGUGUGUAUAUAUAUGUGUGUGUAUAUAUAUAUAUAUAUAUAUGUGUGUAUGUGUAUAUAUAUAUAUACAUAUAUAUAUAUAUAUAUAUAUAUAUACACACAUGGCCCAGUGGUUAGAGCGUCGAGCUUACGAUCAUGAGGUUAUGAGUUCAAAUCCUGGACCGGGCCGCGUGUUGUGUUCAUGAGCAAGGCACUUUAUUUUCACGUUGCUCCAGUUCACUCAUCCGUAGAAAUCAGUUGUGACGUCACUGGUGCCAAGCUGUAUCGGCCCCUUUGCCUUUCCCUUGGAUAACAACUGGUGGCGUGGAAAGGGGAGGCCGGUAUGCAUGGGCGACAGCUGGUCUUCCAUAAACAACAUUGUCUGGACUUCUGCCUGGGAGGGUAACUUUCUAGGUGCAAUCUCAUGGUCAGUCAUGACCGAAAGGGGUCUCAGAUAUAUACAUACACACGCAUAUAUAUAUAUAUAUACAUAUAGGCACAGGAGUGGCUGUGUGGUAAGUAGCUUGUUUACCAACUACAUGGUUCCGGGUUCAGUCCCACUGCGUGGCACCUUGGGCAAGUGUCUUCUACUAUAGUCUCGGGCUGACCAAUGCCUUGUGAGUGGAUUUGGUAGACGGAAACUGAAAGAAGCCCGUCGUAUAUAUGUAUAUAUAUAUAUGCGUGUCCGUAUUUGUCCCCCUAGCAUUGCUUGACAACCGAUACAGGUGUGUUUAUGUCCCGGUUACUUAGCAGUUCGGCAAAAGAGACCGAUAGAAUAAGUACUGGGCUUACAAAAGAAUAAGUCCCAGGGUCGAGUUGCUCGAUUAGAGGCGGUGCUCCAGCAUGGCCGCAGUCAAAUGACUGAAACAAGUAAUAGAGUAAAGAGUAAAAGAGUAUAUAAACAAACAAUUCCAAUAAAAAAGACAGAAAUGGAUGGGAGGACAUGCACAACAAAUAUGUAUAAGCUCGAUGCUCAGUAAGGAGAGAACUUGAUGUUUUGAGCAUAAGCUCUUUGUUGGAAAAAAGAAAGGGAGAAGGAAUCGCCAACGGCACACGUGUAGUUACAUUGGUGAAGACAUUAUUGUUAUUAUUAUAAAUAGUAAUAACAAUAAUAAACUUUGGAUGGAAUUUACAAAUAUUUUAAUCCCUAUGCGAACUUAAAGGAUGUAUGUAUGUUUAUAUGUUUAUAUAUAUAUAUAUUGUCUGUGUGUAUAUAUACAUAUAUAUAUAUAUAUAUAUAUAUAUAUAUAUAUAUAUAUAUAUAAAUAAAAAGGGCAAGCAACAGGUUACUUUGCCACAUACCAAAAAAUUAGAAAUAGCAGUCAAAGACCACUUAUUUCUAUUUUCAACAAAUAUAACUCUACAUAGUUAUAUUUGUUGAAAAUAGAAAUAAGUGGUCUUUGACUGCUAUUUCUAAUUUUUCGGUAUGUCGGUAAGCAACAUGUUGCUUGCCCUUUUUAUUUAUAUAUAUAUAUAUAGAACUUUUUGAAAAGAUUCCUACUGAUAAUGGUUAUAUUUCCAUACUGAAAUCUACCCGGAAAUAAUUGUUGAUUUUAAAAUUAAUAAUUAUUUACCCUUAUAUUAUCAAUAUAUAUAUAUAGGCGCAGGAGUGGCUGUGUGGUAAGUAGCUUGCUUACCAACCACAUGGUUCCAGGUUCAGUCCCACUGCGUGGCACCUUGGGCAAGUGUCAUCUACUGUAGCCUCGGGCCGAUCAAAGCCUUGUGAGUGGAUUUGGUUGACGGAAACUGAAAGAAGCCCAUCAUAUAUAUGCGUUUGUAUGUCUGAGUCUGUGCCCCUAGCAUUGCUUGACAACCGAUGCUGGUGUGUUUAUGUACCCGUUACUUAGCGGUUCGGCAAAAGAGACUGAUAAAAUAAGUACUGGGCUUACAAAAGAAUAAGUCCUGGGGUCAAGUUGCUCGAUUAAAGGCGGUGCUCCAGCAUGGCCGCAGUCAAAUGACUGAAACAAGUAAAAGAGUAAAAGAGAUACUUAUAUUAUACAUACAUGUACAUACUUAUGCUAUCUCUGAUAUAUAUACUCUUGUAAUAGAUGUCCAGCCCAGUCCCUGGAUAUGUCGCCCGGCUCACCGAUAAUCAGUGGACGCACGCAGUUGUCGAGUGGUACCCACGUGAGCGGAAAUGACCACCAGGAAGACCUCCACGAUUUCAGGAGGACGAUCGGGAUCACGUGGAUGAGAAAGGCGCGAUCCAGGGAGGAGUGACCAGCGGUGCCAAAUGGACGCCCGACGGACUGGUCAGUCAAGGUGAUAAUAGAUGUACACUGAUGAGACGGAAGGAAUAUGUCAAUCUCGUUCCGAUGUGGGAUAAACUGUCGUUAGAAGGAAGAUAGAAUUAAUAUCAAAAUGGUUCAGGCAGAAUAUUUCAUUUGAAAGGUAUACAUACAUAUAUAUAAAUAUAUUUACAAUCAUACACACAAACAUGUAUGCAUACAUUUAUAUAUAAAUACACACCGUUCUCACAACUAGCCUCACCUUUCAACUACACACCUUUAUAUAUAUAUAUAUAUAUACAUAUAAAUAUCUACAUGUAUAUGGUUCAUUUUAUAUAUUAUUGUAAAAAUAACAAUUUAUGAUGGUGAUGAUAAUAAUAAUAAUAAUAAUAAUAAUAAUGAGUGAAAAGCAAGUUACCGUUUCCAAGGAGACCAUUCGUGCCCAAUUUUUUUAUUGUUUAUUUUUAAUCACCAAAUUUGUCUUUUUGUCACCCUCUUUCCUACCUAUCUAUCUAUCUGUCUAUCUAUCUAUCUCUGUGUUUGACUAUCUGUCUGUCUGUUUGUCCACGGAUAUCUCUAUCUGUUAAUCUACUUGUUCCUGUCUUAGGAGUUUUAUUCUUUUUUGUUUUCCCUUUCUAUUUUUUGGGGAUUCUGAACACCUAUAAAAAAUAACACUUCUCUCAUAGACACACUCACAUACUUCUUUCAUAGACUCAAACACACACACACAAACACAUAUACAGAUUGAAAUGACAAAACGGAGACAAAAAGAAGAGUUAGGCUUCAAUUCCAAGGGAGAGAAGUAUUUUUUUUUUUUUUUUUUUUUUUUUGAAUUUACAAAAAUUGUGCCAAUAUCAUUAAUUGACAAGACCAAAAAUAUUGAUUAUAUAAAUAUAUAUACGUGACUCAAAAACUGAAAUAAAGCAUGCAAGUAGAGACUGCAAAUACCAAUGGAACGGCUGUCGGCUUCAAAUGAAUGAGUGUGUGUGUGCAUAUAUAUAUAUAUAUAUAUCCAUAUAUAUACCCUCUGUGUGAAAAGUCUGGCUGCAUCCGAAAAAACAUAAUAUUAUGAAACAAAAAUAAACACAAAAUUUAUUACAUGAAUCUGUUACCACCACAACAGUCAACUAUUUGACGCCGAACGCGAGUUUGAUGUUGAAUACAUCCACGAAUUUUCCGCUCAGAUAGCUCUUCCCAAGACUGCAAGACGGCUUCGUGCAAAUUCAUGCCUCGGUUCGUAAGCAAGCUACUUACCACACUAUUUUUAUAGUAACGUGACAAGGAGUUAAAACUUCUAUCUUGGUAAACUUUAAUAAGAGAGAGAUAACCAACUUUGUUAGAGAUCUUUCUUCAAACAUUAAAAAUUCUGCGCUACAGAAUUGUUAACGUGUAUGCAGCCAGACUUUUCACACAGAGGAUAUAUAUUAUUAGAUGAAUGGGAAUAGAAGACUGAUUAUAUAACUAUGUGAUAAAAUUAUUGAAUAUUUAAACCUGUUACUGAAACAUUGACUAUAUAACUAAGUGAAUGAACAACUGACUAUAUAAGUAUUUCCAAAAGGCUUACUAUAUAGAUAUAUAUAGAUAUAUAUAAUAAUAAUAAUAUUAGGGAGUAAAUCCAAACUUACAGGGAAAAAAUUAGAUUUAGGAUUAAAUCUAAUUUUACAGUAUAAAUAUAAAUUAAAUUAGAGAUAAAACCACUAUUAGGCAAAUCAAACAGUGAAAAACAGAGAAAUAAAAAUAAUUAUAUAUAUAUUAAUUAUUUUUAUUUCUAUAUUUUGGUUUGUUUUUCACUGAUUUGCCUAAUAGUGGUUUUAUCUCUAAUUUAAUUUAUAUAUAUAUAUAUAUAUAUAUUUCCUAAAAGCUGAUUAUAUAAAUACUUUCAAAAGACUGCCUGUAUAAUUAUUUCUAAAUAGCUGACUAUAUAAUUAUUUCCGAAAUGCUGACUGUUGUAGAUAUUUCCGAAACACGACUAUAUAAAUAUACGGCCCAAAGGCUGACUAUAUAAAUGUGCAGCCAAAAGCUUGACCAGAAAAGUAUAUAAGACCACAAGACUAUAUAUAUAUAUAUAUAUAUAAACCACCACAUGGCUCUUAUGUGCCUUUAGCUGAGUCAUUGAGGCCAGAUGUCCAGACUGAGGAUUACUGAGUGCAUUGUUUCAAUUAAUCUCAGGGAACCUAGGGAACAGUCUUUGCUGUCACCUAGCCUCCUCUGACUCAGUCAUUUAAUAAUAUGUAUAUAUACCUGUAUGUGUGUGUGUGUGUGUGUAUAUUAUAUAUAUAUAUAUAUAUAUAUAUAUAUGAAUUAAUAUUUAGCAGAAGUAACAGAAUCACUCAGGGUCCAAGAGUUUCAUGCAUUGGCAAUGAAAUUGUUUGACUUUUAGUCACUCUGUUGCUUCCGCUAAAUAUUAAUAAAUAUAUACACAUACUCAUGUUUUGUAUUCUGUUUUUCCUGUUUGCACCAACAUACCUAUAUAUAUAUAUGUGUGUGUAUGUAUGUAUAUAUGUC
rnacentral:lncRNA from 1 species